rnacentral:lncRNA from 1 species
UGGGGAGGUUUGGAAGAGUGAUAGUGAAUUUUUGGACGAACAGCGGAUGAAAACGUAGGGGAUGAACAUGUUCUUUUAAGUGAAGGCUUUUGUGGUUUGUCAGAAGAAUUUCAGUGGAGAUAGGGAUAGUUUUUUUGAGAUGGAGUUAAGGCAAACUGAUGAGAUUUUGAAGCAGAAGGACUAGAAGGUAAUGAGACGGAAUGGGAGCAUGGUGGGGUAGUAGUGAUAGGAGGAGUAGUAAUAGGUGGAACCGACUUCUUGACCACAUACUGUUUGCUUUUUACAGUAUUUACUUGAGUUUUGUUUGCAUUGACUGGACCUUUUUUUUUUGUUGUUUCUCCAGGAUCAGUCACCAUAUGAGGAGGGUCUUUUGGUGGUGCGUAUAGCAAGCAAUUUCGGAUCACAUGGCCAAGCUCAUUACAAUGUGAGCAAAUGGGAGGCAGCCAUGGAUAUUCCACUUGAACCUCAACGACCUCACCGCUUUGUCUCUCAAACUCAACAACGGUUUGGUUAGGUCCACUUCGACCUUAACGUGGGACAAGGUAAGACUGACUAGAUUAAGAGUAAAGUCAUCAGUUUCCUUAGGAUCUCCAAUUAUCCCAGCAACCAAACUUAGUCCUUAUUGGUAUCGUAGGUCAAGGGAUACAC